rnacentral:lncRNA from 1 species
UAAACGGAGAGUGUGCACAGAGGUCCAGCCCUUGCUGGGUAAGCUGCCUGCGGCAGCAGAUUGGACAGAGGUGGUUUUGCAGAAAAUCAGCUCCUGAGGCUCAGGACAUUUAAAAUACUUGCCUAUGGUCCUAACACACUCCCUGCAGUGGGGAGUCAAGCCCACACAGGCUGGCCCCAGAGCGGCCUAGGCAGUGGGAAACCAUUAGCGGAAGUUUUUGUGUAUUUAUUUAUAUUUUUAAAUUGUUUUUAGGCCGCACCCGCAGCAUAGGGAGGUUCCCAGGCUAGGGGUCCAAUCAGAGCUGCAGCUGCCGGCCUCCACCACAGCCACAGCAACGCAGGACCUGGGCCUCAUGUGCGACCUACACCACAGCUCGCGGCCACACCUGGUCCCCAAUCCACCGAGCGAGGCCAGGGAUCAAACCCACAUCCUCAUGGAUACGAGUCCUGCUCGGACGCCGCUGCGUCGCCAAGGGAACGCCCAUGAGCUGAAGCUUGUAGCUUGCGCUCCUACACAAGGGCAAGUGGUCUGCACGUGGGCCAGAGGUGACUGAUCAGGAAACAAUGACGGGAGCCCUGGGAGCAGAGAAGGCAGGGGCCUGAAUUAGGACCGUCCGCGGGAGAAGUUCGGAAUGGAAUUCGGAAAUAUUUAGGAGGCAGAACAGGUGCGUUCAGCCCUUCGCAGGGCUGCUCUCCCAAACAUGGCCAGACCGUGAGCACCUGAGGGUGAGGCUGGCUCGGGGUGACUGCUGCGUCCCCUGCCUACUCACUGCCUGGCACCCAGGAGGCGCUCACACAGUGCGAACGAGCAGAAACAGCCCAUUCCGUCCUGUAUGGCCGUGCGCCACACCAGGCUGUAAAACCCAGGCAAACAGCGUCUUGCAGCCCCGUCUUCCAUUCCUAGCAUCCUGGACCUGUGCCGUGGGCAAGGGCACUCACGCCCCGUGACCACGGAAACUUUCACGGGCCUGCGCACGACCCUGGGUCCGUCUCGGUGCCGCACGCAACCCUCAAGUAAGCCAUGAACAAAGAGGCACGCAACCCAAGCUCUCCCACCUGGGCCUCAGAUGCAGGUCAGGCCUGCUCUGCGCACCUGACAGCUACCCGUGGGCGGGUAGGACACGUGCUCGCGCACACGCGCCCGUGUGUGCAUCCACCCCUAGGUCCAGUUACAGAACCACCAGGUGGACACACACGCAGGGGGAACCCUCCUGGAUCUCUGUCACCGCAGGUCAGGCUGCCCGGCCCUUGAGCCACGUGGGGAGGGAAUCUGCCUGCGGGUAUCUGGCUUUUCUCACUCAGCUGUAGAUCCGUGGACCCCGUGAGUCAGAGCCUCGCGCUGUGUCACCAUCACCUAGGAUCCCAGUGUAGAUACAGUUUGUCUGGCCACGGUCCCCUGGUUGCCUGCGCACAGGUGUCUGAUCGGGGCAGGCACGACUCAGCUCAUAAGAACAUCCUUCUGUUAGGACAGCCCAAGAGAGGGAGCCGUGUUUGCUGAGUAUUAACAUUAAUAAGAAAUGCCAGAAGGUCCCCCCACCCCGCACCGCGGGCUUCGCUUCUGCAAUGGACAAGAUUCGCCGGGGUCGGUGCUGCUCAGCCCACUCACCAGGCUGCCUCUGAAGAGGGCACCUGGCUCGGGAGUCUGUGUUUCAAGCAGUGUGCCAAGCAUGUCUUAUCUCCAGGCAAGUUUUGGAAACAACUGUGGCUCUCAAAUCCUGAGGGGUGUAAAAAAGGCCUCCUUUGGGUCCCCAUCCCCAGAUAUUCUGGUUUAAUCGGCAUCUGGAAAAACUCCUCGCGGGCUUUAAUGCCUGUUCCGGGGCGCGGGCCCCUGGGGCACGGGCCGGCGGAAGCUGGGAGGUGGACAGGCCUAGGGUGGCCCCAGGAGAGAUCACACAGCUGCAGAAAACCACCCAUCCCGACCGAACGAGGGACUCAGCUCGGGUUCAGAGCCUCUCACGGUUCCCAGCCAACCAGGCUCAGGGAGUGACUCUGCUGGCCUUGCCUGGGAUCGCGGGUGGGACGUGCUGGGCCUCUGGGGGCUCCAUCUGGGCCACACCCUCUCCUCGUGGUCCCGGAGCCUCUCCUUUCUCUGAGGCCUCUCCCCACAUCUCAGGGCUCCCCAAAGUGUCCCAAGAGGGAGGAAGCUUAAGCCGCUAGUCCUGAUGCCUGGCCGGGCCCUGGCGCCGUCCCUCUGCCCCCUGUGAGUCUUCACAGGCCACCGAGACCCGGUGCGAGGAGACCACACGAGGGGGUGGGUCCCCGGGAGGGCUUCCUGGGGCCCCGCUUUGAGACCAGCCCCGACAGAUGCGCCUGUGUCACAGGGUUGUUGCAAGGAGCACAUACGCUACAACACGCCCUGCUUAGAACGGCACCUGGCUCGUAGAGGGGGCUCGGGAAGCGCGCACUCACCACACGCCUCGCUUCCUAGACUGGGCUUGGCGAGCCUCGUCUGCAAAGAGCCAGGUGCUGAUACUUUGGGCUUUGUAGGCCACGUGGUCUCUGCUGCAAGAACUCAACUGUGGUCACCUGGGGACAUUCAUCCACAAUACAGGAGUGAAUGGGUGUGGCUUGUUCCAAUAAAGCUUUAUUUACAAGAAAAAGCAGUGGGCCGGCUUGGGUUUCCUGUCCUGUCGCCUGAGCCACCCUGUCCUUUCUCUCAGAAAGGCCUGUGUCCCCGGUCCUGGUCUAGCCCUGCCUGCCAUCGUGUCACCGCCAGGUUCUGUCACAUACCAUCUCACUAAGCCCAACGACCAUGUGGGGACAGUUCUGGACCAGGUGGUGCCUGGCAGGGGGUCCUUAGUACCCCCCACCCUCAGCAGUCCCCCAAGCCUCCCUGGAUGAAUGUACCCUUCAACUGCCAGCCGGGAUUAGCAUCACUCCCAGUUUACAGAUGAGGAAACUGAGGCCCAGGGAGCUCAAGCACCUUGUUCAAGGUCACUCACUGAGCACAUAGGGAGCCCGAAUUCAGACGUGGGACGCCCGGUCACGACCACGGCUCCGCACAACCCCUGCCCACAGGCUGCUCAGAGUGUGGGGAGCUGGAGCCCGCCCUGCCCCGGGGCUCAGGAUCUCGGAGGCCCCUUCCAGCUGUGACUCCUAGAUGCGUUUCUACUGAAGGAAACCAAUGACAAGAGUCCUCAGAUAUUUGCGCUGAGAGACACUGUCAGGCCCUGGGCAGACCGGGUCCAGAGAAGGGCCAUUUAGCCGUUCGGGCAAAAUGUUCAGCCUGCACGCGCUGUGACCCAGUGCUUUCGCUCUAGAAACGUGGGUUGUAGAACCGCUCGUGCCAGCACACCCAGUAUGCUAUGCCCAAGGAGGGCCACUGGGUCAUUCUUUGUCCUUGAGAGCAGAGACGCGGGGAUGCGCUGGCUGUCGGCCCCUGGAGGAUCAGAUAAAUAAAUGAUGGUUCUCUGAUACGGGGCGGACAUCGAGCCAUUAAAGAACGAAGGCGUUGAAGUGGCCAGCCGUCUGCACGUACAUACGACGCAGACACACAUACGAUUCGCGUGGGGAAUGCCCGCACACACGCCCAAGCUGCUGUCGCCAGCCCGGGAGGAGCAGGAAUGAGGAGUCUCAUCCACGUCGCGGAAUCAUAUUGUAUGAAACACUUUUUUAAGCGAACACUUGGUUUUUACUAACAGAGAGUCAUAAGAUGCCCAUCAGUGUACCCACCCACCCGUUCCCAGCUUCGACCACCGCCAGCCCGGGACGAGCCUGAGUCCAGGCUCCCCGCUCCCGCCUCCCCGCUCAUGUUAUACUGAAGCAAAUGCCCCUCGUGCCGCUGCCUCCAUGAAUAUUUCAACAUGUGUCUCUACAAGAUAAGGCCUAUUUUUUUUUAAAGUAGCCACAAUACCAUUAUCACACCUAAAAAAAUAAUAAUUCUUUAAUAUCAUCUAAUGUCCGAUAAUUUCCAGUUAUGAAAACAUGAAUUAUUUUUGUGAUAAUGAUAAUAAAGAAAGCCAGUCCGAGGGCUGACCGGCACAACUCUCCUGCAGGUUUGUUUAGGGACACGUAUCACAAGCCUUAAAAAUGUGCUUAUCUCAGACCAGCAAUCCCAACCCAUGAAUUUAUUCUAAGAAAACAAGAUGAAAGAGGGAAGCAGACUGUUUGCCGGGCGGGCAGCGCCUGCCACAGGAAAGUGGCUUGGAAAAUAUUUGUUGAAUGGGAGGCUGAGCUACAGUGUCGUUCUUUGCUGCUUUGUUUGUCAAAGGAAAAGGCAGCACAGCAGACGCCUGAGACACGAGGGUCCCAGCUAGACAAGUGACGGCAGCUCCGCACACGGGGAUGCUUCCGGUCGUUGAAGAUCAGGCCGUGGUGACACGCGUGGAUAUGCCAAGACCUGGCGUGGCUGGACUUGAGGCCUGGCAGCCAGAGAGAGGAGGAGGAAAGGGCAGAACGGGGCUUGUCCAGCGGGGGAGCCCAGCAGACGCGCCUGCACGCGGACACCCGCAGCCACAAAACCUGUGACGUCACAGCGCCCAGGAGAUGCAGAGAGACGGGCGCGCCGGGGGCUCCCCUCCCCGCAAAAGCGCUCCCCGCGUGUCCCUGUGGGAAAAACAUCAGACGCAAAUGGGGCAGCGGCACUCGACAACAUCCCGAGCCGCGCCCUGCGAAACAGUCAAGGUCACCAGGCAGGAGGAAAGGAAACAGCUUGGCCCGAACCUCAGGCGGGGUCCUGGUCGGGGGCUUAGACCGGGGAAAGGGCAGUCGUCGAGCAACUGGCAGCGUCCUGAGAAAGCCCUCGCUUAGUGAUACCUUACAAACGCCAACUUCUGCUGUGCCGUUGUCAGAAAGACACGGACACGGGGGAGCUGGGGGAAGAGCAGACAGGAGCACGUUGUGUUCUUGCUUAUACGUCUAAAUAGUUCAGGACUUUCUGUCGUGGCCCAGCGGAAACGAAUCCAACCAGGAACCAUGAGGUGGCGGGUUCGAUCCCUGCCCUUGCUCAGUGGGUCAAGGUUCCGGCGUGGCCAUGAGCUGUGGUGUGGGUUGCAGACGCAGCUCGGAUCCCGUGUUGCUGUGGCUCCAGUGUAGGCCGGCAGCUACAGCUCCGAUUUGCCCCCUAGCCUGGAAACCUCUAUAUGCCGCGGGAGCGGCCCAAAAA